rnacentral:rRNA from 1 species
UGAGUAACCUGCCCUUAACUCUGGGAUAAGCCUGGGAAACUGGGUCUAAUACCGGAUAUGACUCCUCAUCGCAUGGGUGGGGGGUGGAAAGCUUUAUUGUUGGUUUUGAAUGGACUCGCGGCCUAUCAGCUUGUUGGUGAGGUAAUGGCUCACCAAGGCGACGACGGGUAGCCGGCCUGAGAUGGUGACCGGCCACACGUGGGACUGAGACACGGCCCAGACUCCGAGGGNGCAG